rnacentral:misc_RNA from 1 species
GAUGAAGAACGUAGCGAAAUGCGAUACGUAAUGUGAAUUGCAGAAUUCAGUGAAUCAUCGAGUCUUUGAACGCACAUUGCGCCCCCUGGUAUUCCGGGGGGCAUGCCUGUCCGAGCGUCAUUGCUGCCCUCAAGCACGGCUUGUGUGUUGGGCCUCCGUCCUCCUCCCGGGGGACGGGCCCGAAAGGCAGCGGCGGCACCGCGUCCGGUCCUCGAGCGUAUGGGGCUUCGUCACCCGCUCUUGUAGGCCCGGCCGGCGCCCGCCGGCGACCCCCCUCAAUCUUUCCAGGUUGACCUCGGAUCAGGUAGGGAUACCCGCUGAACUUAAGCAUAUCAAUAAGCGGAGGA